GCGGGUGUGGCGAAAUUGGUAGACGCACUAGAUUUAGGAUCUAGCGCUUUUUAGCAUGCAGGUUCAAAUCCUGUCACCCGUACCU
rnacentral:tRNA from 1 species